GUCAUAUCGAGGAUUCUGGGGAUUCUCUGCAUAGGCCACGUAAUAGGCAGAAACACAUGCUUGCGGCCAUGCCAUUGCUAUUCGACACUGCAACAACAACCAUGAGCAUUGUCAUCCAGAAGUUAAACUCCUCUCAGGUAUCAUAGGAAGCCUGCACAAUCCCUUUAUU